rnacentral:rRNA from 1 species
UACGUAGGGUGCAAGCGUUAAUCGGAAUUACUGGGCGUAAAGCGCACGCAGGCGGUUUGUUAAGUCAGAUGUGAAAUCCCCGAGCUUAACUUGGGAACUGCAUUUGAAACUGGCAGGCUAGAGUCUUGUAGAGGGGGGUAGAAUUCCAGGUGUAGCGGUGAAAUGCGUAGAGAUCUGGAGGAAUACCGGUGGCGAAGGCGGCCCCCUGGACAAAGACUGACGCUCAGGUGCGAAAGCGUGGGGAGCAAACAGG